AUUUGCCUCCUAAUUGCGCAAAAAUUGGGCAGCCCAAGGGAAAGCCUUGGGCAUGAAACUACUCAAAUUCAGGGAAACCUUAACGGGUCAGGUAAUGACGCCGAUGGCAAUCCUGAGCGAAGCCAAAUACGUUGUAAUUUGGAACGUGCAGAGACUAGACGGGUAGCACCUACAGGCUUCCACAGCCCAUGGUGAAGGGAUAGUCCAGACUACAAACG
rnacentral:ncRNA from 1 species